AUGAACGCUGGCGGCGUGCCUAAUACAUGCAAGUCGAGCGAACAGACGAGGAGCUUGCUCCUCUGACGUUAGCGGCGGACGGGUGAGUAACACGUGGAUAACCUACCUAUAAGACUGGGAUAACUUCGGGAAACCGGAGCUAAUACCGGAUAAUAUAUUGAACCGCAUGGUUCAAUAGUGAAAGACGGUUUUGCUGUCACUUAUAGAUGGAUCCGCGCCGCAUUAGCUAGUUGGUAAGGUAACGGCUUACCAAGGCGACGAUGCGUAGCCGACCUGAGAGGGUGAACGGCCAAACAGGAACUGAGACACGGUCCAGACUCCUACGGGAAGCAGCAGUAGGGAAUCUUCCGCAAUGGGCGAAAGCCUGACGGAGCAACGCCGCGUGAGUGAUGAAGGUCUUCGGAUCGUAAAACUCUGUUAUUAGGGAAGAAAAAAUGUGUAAGUAACUAUGCACGGCUUGACGGUACCUAAUCAGAAAGCCACGGCUAACUACGUG
rnacentral:rRNA from 1 species